GACGAACGCUGGCGGCGUGCUUAACACAUGCAAGUCGAGCGGUAAGGCCCUUUCGGGGGUACACGAGCGGCGAACGGGUGAGUAACACGUGGGUGACCUGCCCUCAGCUCUGGGAUAAGCCUGGGAAACCGGGUCUAAUACCGGAUAUGACUCCAUGACGCAUGUUGUGGGGUGGAAAGCCUUGUGCGGCUGAGGAUGGGCCCGCGGCCUAUCAGCUUGUUGGUGGGGUGAGGCCUACCAAGGCGACGACGGGUAGCCGGCCUGAGAGGGCGACCGGCCACACUGGGACUGAGACACGGCCCAGACUCCUACGGGAGGCAGCAGUGGGGAAUCUUGCGCAAUGGGCGAAAGCCUGACGCAGCGACGCCGCGUGAGGGAUGACGGCCUCGGUU
rnacentral:rRNA from 1 species